AUACGAAUGGAGCAAGCGUUGUUCGGAAUCACUGGGCGUAAAGCGUACGUAGGCGGAUUUUUAAGUCAGAAGUGAAAGCCCAGGGCUCAACCCUGGAACUGCUUUUGAAACUGGAAGUCUAGAGUCCCGGAGAGGUUAGGGGAAUUCCGAGUGUAGCAGUGAAAUGCGCAGAUAUUCGGAGGAACACCAGCGGCGUAGGCGCCUAACUGGACGGGAACUGACGCUGAGGUACGAAAGCGUGGGGAGCAAACGGGAUUAGAAACCCUAGUAGUCC
rnacentral:rRNA from 1 species